UACGAAGGGGGGCUAGCGUUGUUCGGAAUUACUGGGCGUAAAGCGCACGUAGGCGGAUUGUUAAGUUAGGGGUGAAAUCCCAGGGCUCAACCCUGGAACUGCCUUUAAUACUGGCAAUCUCGAGUCCGAGAGAGGUGAGUGGAAUUCCGAGUGUAGAGGUGAAAUUCGUAGAUAUUCGGAGGAACACCAGUGGCGAAGGCGGCUCACUGGCUCGGUACUGACGCUGAGGUGGCGAAAGCGUGGGGAGCAAACAGG
rnacentral:rRNA from 1 species